AGGAAGGAGGUGCAUGCAGGAGUGCCUGCAUGGGGGGCGGGAGAAAGAGGCUGGGCACUUGCAUCACACUUCAGUCUCCUAAAUAGUGCCAGGUGAAAAAGUAAUUUAAACACUCUAUGACAGAGCCAGACUGUAACCCUUCAAGGUACCUCUGCAAUAUCUGCCAUCCAAGCCACAGAGUGAAACACAAACAAGUGGGAUAACAUCAUGGAUCACAUCCUGUACCUCCUGAGUAUGGCCCAGAUUUCUACCUCUGCGCAAGUGUUUGAUUUCACUGUUGUGCCAGGAGCAAUCUGGGACUCCAGUCCUGUUCCACGUGAAAUAAUGGAAGGAGUUGGAUGUGCAGUGCACAGAGCACUGAGUUGCUGCCAGUGCCCUAAAAGGAGGAUGUGCUGUCUAAAGUGCCCCUUGCUAUUAGGUGGCGCUGCUGAACAAAUGGAGCAACGUAUUUUGGUGACAUCUGCAGUACAAACCUGCAAGCUGCAUUACGCCACAAAGCAUGCCGAGCUUCCACCAGCUUACUUCCCUGCUAGCAGUUUGCUCAGCAUGGAGCUGAUUCAUCCCUCUUACCGAGGUCACUAAGAUAGAUCAUGUCGUAUUGUGGGGAAGCAUCGUAGAUGGAAAUCUGCCAUGUGGAGUUCUACACAACAAGUUGCAGAGGCCACCAAAGGCAAAGGAGAAUCAAGCCAAUUUGCAGAGGUAAAGGCUGUCCAACUGGUCUUAGGUGUUGCUGAACGGGAGAAGGGGCCAGUGCUUCAUCUUUAUACUGACUCGUGGAUGGUGGCAAAUGCCUUAUGGGGGUGAUUACAGCAGUGGGAACAAAAUAACUGGCAAAGAAGGGGUAAGCCUAUUUGGGCUCUCUGACCUGUGGAAAGACAUUCUGCCCAAAGGAAGAAUAUGGUUGUAAAGGUGCACCAUGUAGAUGCUCAUGUGCCCAAGAGUCGGGCUGCUGAAGAACAACAAAAUAACCAUCAGGUAGAUCGAGCUGCCAGAAUUGAGGUGGCUCAAAUAGACUUGGACUGGCAACACAAGGG
rnacentral:lncRNA from 1 species